AGAGUUUGAUCCUGGCUCAGGACGAACGCUGGCGGCACGCUUAACACAUGCAAGUCGAACGAGAGAAGAGGAGCUUGCUUUUCUGAUCUAGUGGCGGACGGGUGAGUAACACGUGAGCAAUCUGCCUUUCAGAGGGGGAUACCGAUUGGAAACGAUCGUUAAUACCGCAUAACAUAAUUGAACCGCAUGAUUUGAUUAUCAAAGAUUUAUCGCUGAAAGAUGAGCUCGCGUCUGAUUAGCUAGUUGGUAAGGUAACGGCUUACCAAGGCGACGAUCAGUAGCCGGACUGAGAGGUUGAUCGGCCACAUUGGGACUGAGACACGGCCCAGACUCCUACGGGAGGCAGCAGUGGGGAAUAUUGCACAAUGGAGGAAACUCUGAUGCAGCGAUGCCGCGUGAGGGAAGAAGGUUUUAGGAUUGUAAACCUCUGUCUUCAGGGACGAAAAAAGACGGUACCUGAGGAGGAAGCUCCGGCUAACUACGUGCCAGCAGCCGCGGUAAUACGUAGGGAGCGAGCGUUGUCCGGAAUUACUGGGUGUAAAGGGAGCGUAGGCGGGAUCGCAAGUCAGAUGUGAAAACUAUGGGCUUAACCCAUAAACUGCAUUUGAAACUGUGGUUCUUGAGUGAAGUAGAGGUAAGCGGAAUUCCUAGUGUAGCGGUGAAAUGCGUAGAUAUUAGGAGGAACAUCAGUGGCGAAGGCGGCUUACUGGGCUUUAACUGACGCUGAGGCUCGAAAGCGUGGGGAGCAAACAGGAUUAGAUACCCUGGUAGUCCACGCCGUAAACGAUGAUUACUAGGUGUGGUGGGACUGACCCCUUCCGUGCCGCAGCAAACGCAAUAAGUAAUCCACCUGGGGAGUACGACCGCAAGGUUGAAACUCAAAGGAAUUGACGGGGGCCCGCACAAGCAGUGGAGUAUGUGGAUUAAUUCGAAGCAACGCGAAGAACCUUACCAGGUCUUGACAUCGUGUGCAUAGCUCAGAGAUGAGUGAAAUCUCUUCGGAGACAUAUAGACAGGUGGUGCAUGGUUGUCGUCAGCUCGUGUCGUGAGAUGUUGGGUUAAGUCCCGCAACGAGCGCAACCCUUACUGUUAGUUGCUACGCAAGAGCACUCUAGCAGGACUGCCGUUGACAAAACGGAGGAAGGUGGGGAUGACGUCAAAUCAUCAUGCCCCUUAUGACCUGGGCCUCACACGUACUACAAUGGCUGUCAACAGAGGGAAGCAAAGCCGCGAGGUGGAGCGAACCCCUAAAAGCAGUCUUAGUUCGGAUUGUAGGCUGCAACCCGCCUACAUGAAGUCGGAAUUGCUAGUAAUCGCAGAUCAGCAUGCUGCGGUGAAUACGUUCCCGGGCCUUGUACACACCGCCCGUCACGCCACGGGAGUCGGUAACACCCGAAGCCUGUAGUCUAACCGCAAGGAGGACGCAGUCGAAGGUGGGAUUGAUGACUGGGGUGAAGUCGUAACAAGGUA
rnacentral:rRNA from 1 species